rfam:Gasterosteus aculeatus cont1.011937, whole genome shotgun sequence.
UCUUGUUCUCUCUGUAAGUUGCUUUGGAUAAAAGCGUCUGCUAAAUGAUAGAUG